CCUUUUCGUUAAAUUACUCCACAUUAUGUAAUUCAUUUCAUUGACGAUUGCUUGGAGUUGUGUGACCAAUUAUUUAAGGUAUAAAAUUGCGAUUGUAAUAAUUAUAUCUACUUGGUGGAUCGAAUGAGAUAGGAAGGUAAGAAAAAUCUUCAAGUAAUUGAAUGACAAUUACUUUUGAAAUUUAACUUAUUAAUUUACAAUAGCCGUACUAUUGUUAUUUUUUCCUUUAUCGAACGUUUAAACACGUCAAAAGUUCAAAAGUGAGUCUUUUGGCGAAACUUUGAUCGAGUAGAAUGAGAAACUGCUAAAUUAAGUUGAAAACUAUGGGAGUAUUAUUACGGCUUAUCUUUUUUUUAAGCGUCAUCAAAUGUACAAUCAGAAAUCAGAAAGACAACUAUUUCGCGAAAUUAGUCAAAAAUACACCGAAGUACGUUUUUUGGCGAAAUAUUGUUAGAAUGGAAUGAGAAACUUAGGUAAAAAAUUAUAAGAUUUCUCCUUUUUUAAACAUUUCUGGACAUUGUUCAACCAGAAAUCUGAAAUGAAAUUAUUUCCCCAAAGUAACAAAUAAGCCAAAAAUUCGCACAAUUGUAUCAUACUUUUUGAGUCUUAGAAUAUUUAUUUGCAGCAUAACUAUGUCUACAGUGUCAAAUUACCAGUAUUUUUUCGUUGAAAAAUAGUUUUUUUUGUAUACUGCAUAUUAAAACAUAAUAUUCUAUAUGUUAAUAAUAUACCAUUUGCAUUUAGUUUCUUUUUUUUUUCAGUUUUCAAUAAAUGAUAACACAAAUAUUCGAUAACUCUGGAACUAUAACUAUUUUGCUACUAAUAACUGCUAAUUCGAGUUAUCGAAGCUAGACUGUAUUGUGGUGCUUUUUUGCUUGGGCGAGAUUUUGUAAAAAUCGAACAAAAAGUUACUAAACUAAGUAAAAACGCUAUUAUUUUAAGGAAUUCCAUGCAAAUUAAGCCAAAAGUCAAAAGAAACGCUGUUAUUUGUCAAAAUUUCUCAAAAAUCUGUCGAAAAAUCAUUAAGCUCUGGAUCCUUGACUGGAUGAUCUAAAAGUAGUAUACUUUGCCUUUACGGGUGAUUUAGCACAUUUUCAAUUAGAAGGGCAAUUUGGCCAAAAACUAACCGAAAAGUCUCAAAAUUACAAAAAAGUAAAGUCAAUUUUGUAUUUUUCGGGCGUUUAGAUGCACAUUAUUUUGCUAAACCGGACUGAAAAAUCUAUGAACUUACCAUUUGUGCCUUUUCUUAUCAUGUUUUUUAAAUCAAAACGUAAUUAUUCAGGAAAAUUUCGUCAAAAAAUACCAGAAAAUCACCGAAUUAGGUCGAAAAUAUUUUGAUGCCUUGACACCUGAAAACUCAGUUUUCUGCUAAAAAUGUGCACUUUUGAGAAAAAAGAAACCAAAAAAUUGCCGAAUCGGGUCGAAAUGUUAUAGUUUGCAUAUUUUAAAGCGAGACAAUCGAUUAUUGUUUUACGAAAUUAACGUCAAAAAUUAUCAAAGAAAAAACCCUUGAAUCGAAUUUUCAAGCCCUUAAACACUGAAGAGAAAUCAGUAAAUUAAGUAAAAAAAAAUACUCUUUUUUCUCAGUUUUAUUGUUUGUAUUGCACAUUGUUGAGCUAAAAAGGUAAUUAUUUAUUUUCAAAAUGAAAAUAUCAUUUUACACGAAUUUGGAACUGUUCUCCCUACGAUCUCCUGAGGCGUAUUUUACUAUUCAUUGAUAAUAAACAUUUAUCUGUAUUUUUGUGUUCCGCUUAAAUGAUAAUUGUUGCAUUUACUAACACAAUUUUUGAUAAAAACUAUGCAGUCCGGGUAUAAUUGUUCAAAGCAAACCGAUUAUUUCCAUAUAUGCACAGCUGUCAACAAUAUUUGUGUGGCAUAGAUAUUGAUAAAAAGCAUAAGACAAAGUUCACAGUGUUGGAGAAAGAUUACCCAGUCAAAACAAGCGCACAUUGCAAUGUUUAGAUUAUGUAAAAGGGGGGUUUCGAGUUAAAUUUACAUUUGUUGCACUGUUGGACGUUUAAGAGAACAUUAACAUAUUCACAGUUUACACUUUGAUUCUCGUAAGAUACACGAGAUGCGAGGAUCAACAAACUUUAGAUUGAUCCUGGGAAACUCGAUUGGAAAUUAAUGAGAAAAAUAUUGCACCUUUUUUCGGUAUCACGGAAGUUUGUAACUAUUUUUAACCUCUUGAUUAAAUUUUCAUCUCAUAAGGCGGGCCAUUUCUGCGCUAAUUUAUCAUAAUUUAAUUACGUGCACAAUUUUCAAAUCUAAUUACUCACUUCAUCAAACAUUGUUUUUGAAGUUUAAUCGCCAAUACUGCCAGGUACAGAAAUAGGCAGUUAGCAAUUAGCUGUUCUAACGCAGCUGACAUCAUUUUCUCUAUUCUAUAAUACUACUAAUAAGGCCCCCAAAGCACACAGCCAUUUUUUAAGGAAAACGCCCUGGUGUUCAAGGGUAAACAGAAAAGCAAAAAAAUCGUGGGUCCAUAGUGCACACAGGCAUUUUUUUAAGUAAAACACCCUGAUUUUCAAGGACAAACAGAAAAGCAGAAAAAAUCAUUAGCCGCUUGAGCACACUGCUACUUUUUUAAGGAAAUCACCCUGUUUUUCAACAUGUCUUUUAUAUUUUAAAAUCGCUGUGCACACAGCCAUUUUUAAGGAAAACACCCUGAUUUUCAAGGGUAAACAGAAAAAAUUGUGAAAACACCCCCGUUUUUAAGGUUUAUUUUAAAAUUAACAUUUUUCAAAAGAUUUUAUCCUGUUUUUCUGUUGGGCCACUUCAGCACACAUAUGAAUACGAUUUCGGCCUAACAAAUUCGGUGUGUAAAGGCCCCCAUAGCACACAGCCAUUUUUUAAGGAAAACGCCCUGGUGUUCAAGGGUAAACAGAAAAGCAAAAAAAAUCGUGGGUCCAUAGUGCACACAGGCAUUUUUUUAAGUAAAACACCCUGAUUUUCAAGGACAAACAGAAAAGCAGAAAAAAUCAUGGGUUCAUAGUGCACACAGCCAUUUUUUAGUAAAUAUACCCUGUUUUUCAUAGUAUGUUUUAAAAAGCAAAUAUUUCAAGGAUUUUCAUAAUAUAUUUAAAAAAGCAAUUAUUUCAAGUAUUUUACCCUGUUUUUAAAGGUAUAUUUAAAGAGCAAAUCUUUCAAGGAUUUUGUCCUGUUUUUCAUAGUAUAUUUAAAAUUAACAUUUUUCAAGGAUUAAUAUCCGAACGGUAUUGUAUCAAAGUUUUCUAGAAUAACUCUCUUGUCAUAAACAAAACCAAAUUCUUUUGUUUCUAUUUUAUUUAAAAGUUCUUUAGUUUUGGUAUCUCUGGUAAUUCGAUUAUAUUGUGUACUGAUUUUUUUGUCUUUGUAUUCUAAAAUAUUAUUUAUACUAUCGGAAUUAAUCUUUUUGGACGUUUCAUAAUUUAACGUAAAUCCUUUUAUUCUACAAACAACUUUACCUGUAUUAGUCUUAUAACAAUAACUUUUUGGGCCUGUUGAUAUCCAGUCUAUUAUCCAUACGCCUUUACCUAAUUCGUCUGUCCAAUCUCCCAAUAGACAGCCUGUUUUAACAGUCAUCUAUAUAUACAAUGCUAUCUGUAUCAUAAUAUACUACACUUUCUCCUAAUAUGUCUAACAUUUCGUACAAUCUUAGUCUAGCAUUUGCAGUUGUAAAAGCAGCUAUGAAUAUAUUGGUAUUGAAAUUAUUUUCUACAUAGCAAUCUUUAUAUUUGUAAUCAAUUUGUAACAUAUUUUCAUUUAUAUCGUUUAUACGUAUAUUAUCAAGUUUCUCGUCUAAUAAAAUUUCAUAAAACCUUUUAACAUCUGUAACAUAUUCUGUUGCACCCAUAUUUUGUCUUUGUCCAAAUUUACCCCAUAAGGAAUUUAAGCAUAUUUUAGCAACAGCCCUCUUUCCAGGGUUAUUUUCUAUUUUACCCAAUUCAAUACCUAGAUUUUCUUUUACAGCUUUUCUAUAUUCUUCUUCUGAUUCAAAAUCAUCCUGCCAAGGGCUUGUUUCUAAUUUAAUUUUCAUAAACGCUUUCACAUAUCCUUUAAAUAAAUUUGAUGAUUUUUCGUAAAAAUGCCAAACCUCAUCAAUAGUUAUUAUUUUGUAACCCUUUUCAAUUGCUUUUUUUACUUCGUUGGUACACCAGGUUCCUCUGAUAAUUCUUUGAGAUUCCGUAUGAGAACAUUUAUCUUUUUGAUUAUUUAAUUUUGCGCACAAUUAGUUUUUCAUCACCAGAUUUGGUUUUAUUCUUAACAGGUAAAACGGGGUGAUACAAUCCUCUUGGCGGUAAAAUUGCACAUUUUAUUAAACCAUACCAAUCUGUAUUAUACGUACGAGGUUUGGAUAUUUUAGUAGGAUUUCCAACUGGAUAAUCAUCGUAACAUUGUACUGUUGGAUAUAAACUGCAAAUAUCUAUAUAUUUCAUUUUCUUCCCCUUAACGCGCAAUUUUGUUGCAUUCGUUCUUCCUCCAAAGAAUGCGUUUCUAGGAUUAAGUUCUUCCAAUUCCUUAAUUUCUUCUUCAAUUUCGCUUCGCUCAUGAGGGCUUCGCCCGAUUUGUUUCAUUUCUUUCUUAUAUUUUUUUGACUUCGUCCACUCACAUUCCCACAUUUCUAUCAAGUUAUAACCAGCUUUUUUUAGUUGCUCGCUUCUUUCUAUUGUUUUUUCAUAAAGAUCUUCCAUAGUUGUUUUAUUCUUAUUAUUAAUAAAAUCUGAACUAUAGCAUUUAGUACAACCAUGCCAAAAACACCCGUGAUAUUGGUAAACAGUAUUGGAUUUUUUAUCAAACCCGUCAACUUUUGAUCCACAUAUUUUCACUUUGCCUUUGGCUCUGGAGUGGCGAGAAUAUUGAUCUUUUUUCAGAUUAUCAAUUUAAAUGUGGUCUUAUCGAUCAAAUAAUAAAACUAAUUAAUCGUUUGUGAUCAUUUUCAUAUAAUUGUUUUCUAAUAAAUCACGGAAAUAAUUAACUGUAAUUAUGAUAACUCUUAUUUUUAACUGUUGAAGAAAAAUUUUGUUUAUACUUAUAUGUAGGUACCUGCUUUGGAACAACCGAAAAUUUUAUUAAAUGAAUUGGUUUAACAUCGUUUCUUAAUUAAUUCAUUUCCCACAAAAAUUUGACCAAAAUAUUAUUUGAAUAAUAAAAUAACCCACUGAACAAAAUAACCAGUGUGCCCCUCUUUCUAUCCGUUCUAUUGCGUGCGCGUCUACGCUUCUGCGCGUAGCUGCCCAUCAUGCCUCACAUCCGCCGUUAUGUCUUUAGAUAGAAUAUCAGUAAAAUAUCCGAAUUAUAGGAACAAUGAAUUGCCCAUGGUCAUUGGGUGUUCUUUUGAAACGACCAUCGACGAUGCCAAGAACUACUUUUUACGUUAUUGCUACAAGGAUGUGGUUAUUAAUGACAUCGUGCCAUGGAAACGGAAUUGUCAACCGUCGUGUGCAUGGAGGGUCAUAUACAAAUUAAAAGAUCGAACUCCCGAUUAUGUCGAACCAGGUAAAACUGUGGAGGAUUUCUGCAUUCCUUUACUAGAGGGCGAUGGAGAAUUAAACAAAUUAUUUGCUAAUAUAACCGCAAUGAGCGUUGGACUGAUAGUAGCCACCAAAGGAUAUACUUAUGAUAAAACCUAUGCUUUAGUGGAUUAUGUGCCAAUUAGUUGCCCUUGUCCUGCACAGGAUUUUAGUGAGACUGCAAAGCUGAUGAUACCUCGUAUGCAGUCAGUUUCAGAGGUAUCCCUUACUUUCGGCAAUAUGACAUUGUAAUACUCUAUGAUUGUAAUUUAAUUAUUUUUUGUUAUUAGAAUAAUUUAUUUUGAAUAAAGUAUUAUAUGUUUGAUGUAUAGGUA